GAUGAAGAACGUAGCGAAAUGCGAUACGUAGUGUGAAUUGCAGAAUUCAGUGAAUCAUCGAAUCUUUGAACGCACAUUGCACCUCUCGGUAUUCCGGGAGGUAUGCCUGUUCGAGCGUCAUUUGUACCCUCAAGCUCUGCUUGGUGUUGGGUGUUUGUUCCGCCUCUGUGUGUGAACUCGCCUCAAAACAAUUGGCAGCCGGCGUACUUGUUUCGGAGCGCAGCACAUUUUGCGAUCCAGAUCAACGUACAGCGGCAUCCAAGAAGCCUUAUUUAACGCUCUUGACCUCGGAUCAGGUAGGGAUACCUGCUGAACUUAAGCAUAUCAAUAAGCGCAGGA
rnacentral:misc_RNA from 1 species